rnacentral:rRNA from 1 species
GUGGGGAAUCUUGGACAAUGGGGGAAACCCUGAUCCAGCAAUGCCGCGUGGGUGAAGAAGGCCUUCGGGUUGUAAAGCCCUUUCGAUAGGGAAGAAAAGCUUCGUGCUAAUACCACGGAGUCUUGACGUUACCUAGAGAAGAAGCAACGGCUAACUCUGUGCCAGCAGCCGCGGUAAUACAGAGGUUGCAAGCGUUAAUCGGAAUUACUGGGCGUAAAGCGCGCGUAGGUGGCUAACUAAGUCGGAUGUGAAAUCCCUGAGCUCAACUUAGGAAUUGCAUUCGAUACUGGUUAACUUGAGUUUGGUAGAGGAGAGUGGAAUUCCCGGUGUAGCGGUGAAAUGCGUAGAUAUCGGGAGGAACAUCAGUGGCGAAGGCGGCUCUCUGGACUAAAACUGACACUGAGGCGCGACAGCGUGGGGAUCAAACAGGAUUAGAAACCCUUGUAGUCC